GAGUCUUGUAUGAAGGGGUGCACGGGGGUUUCCUGUCUCUCUGGGGCGCUUUUGAACUUUCUUAAAGGGUGAAAAUUCCCUUAAUUAAGAAAAAAGACGAGAAGACCCUAGGAGUUUUUAAUCAAGUAAUGUGUGUUACUAUCGUUUUUUGCUGGGGCGGCAAGGAGACGCGAAUAAACCCUCCUAUGGAAAAACUUUCUACUUGGCGUUUGUUAAAUGUGUGAAUUAAACUACCCUAGGGAUAACAGCAUAAUUUAAACUAAGUUUGUGACCUCGAUGUUGGACUAGGGGCUCUACGGCCAGCAGCCGACAAAGCUUGUUCUGUUCGAACACUUGACCCUACGUGAUCUGA
rnacentral:rRNA from 1 species